GAGUAUUUGAAGUAUCUAGAAAAUAAAUUAUGCGAUUUUUCGAUAUUAUUUGCUUAGUGAACGAAGGGGCUCAAAAUCAACGGCUGAAAUUAAAAAUCUUACAAAACGUGAUAAUAUGACUUUAAAAUUUUAGAUCAAAGAUAUUGAUCAUGUUUUAUAUAGUAUAAAGAAUUUUCUAUCAAAAUUUUAUGUGAUUUGAAUAUUUCUAUACCGUUAAACUUGCAAACGGCCUCACUACGGUCAUUAAAAUUAUUAAUUUUGAGCCCCUUCGAUCAUUAGGCAAAUGAUAUCGAAAAAUCAUAAAAUUUAUUUUUUAGAUACUUCAAAUACUCUAGAUCAAGUUUAACUGAACCGAUCGACGAUUCGAAAGUCGCAACAUCGAAAACGAUCUGGAAGCACGGAAGGCUCCGCGCUUCCAGAAGCAUAGUAGCCUCACUCUAAUAACAUUACCU
rnacentral:lncRNA from 1 species